GCCUUUGAGGCAGUCUUCCUACUGCCAAUAUGAUGAAAGCAUAGCAGUUAAGCAGAUGAUAUGUAAAAUCUGUAAAAAUCUUGUGAAGAAAUGUAUUGUUCAGUGGUUUGGGGCUUCACUUUAAUAGCUAUAUUUAUAUGAAC